rnacentral:rRNA from 1 species
AUGGCCGUCCUCGCCAGGCGCUGGGUUCGCAUCCCACGCAAGCUGUCGGCGCUUGACUUCAGGGUGAGCGACAUACUCCCGCCGGAGUAUGAACGGACCAUUGCCCUUCGCCAACACAACAUACCGCAUGACGCCACUUUGGCCGGGGCACUCGACGGUCUCAAGGCACGAUGUGAGAUCGACACAAUAAGGUCAUUCGCCAACGGAAUCACGAGCUUCUUGGAAGCGGACAGUGGCCAUGACCGGCGCGUGAAGACCCUCCGUCUCGAGUUUUUUCAGACAUACAACAGCAUCUGUGUGGACCGCCUGAUCAAUGCUGCGGUCGGCACAUGGGGGGUGGAAGAUCUGGAGGUUGUCGUCAGGCAAUCAUCCGGUUAUGAUCAGACGCGGACAUACAACUUCCCCCACAGCUGCCUCAACCUCCGUCUUGCCUUCGCAGACUAA